CCUACGGGAGGCAGCAGUGGGGAAUAUUGGACAAUGGGCGAAAGCCUGAUCCAGCAAUGCCGCGUGAGUGAUGAAGGCCUUAGGGUUGUAAAGCUCUUUUACCCGGGAUGAUAAUGACAGUACCGGGAGAAUAAGCUCCGGCUAACUCCGUGCCAGCAGCCGCGGUAAUACGGAGGGAGCUAGCGUUAUUCGGAAUUACUGGGCGUAAAGCGCACGUAGGCGGCUUUGUAAGUAAGAGGUGAAAGCCUGGUGCUCAACACCAGAACUGCCUUUUAGACUGCAUCGCUUGAAUCCAGGAGAGGUGAGUGGAAUUCCGAGUGUAGAGGUGAAAUUCGUAGAUAUUCGGAAGAACACCAGUGGCGAAGGCGGCUCACUGGACUGGUAUUGACGCUGAGGUGCGAAAGCGUGGGGANCGAAACAGGAUUAGAUACCCUGGUAGUCCACGCCGUUAAACGAUGAUAACUGCUGGUCGGGCUCUUAGAGCGUCGGUGGUCGCGNGCUACGACAUUAAGUUAGUCCGUCCGGUCGGGUACGGUACGGCCGGACCGUAAACGGUUAAACGUAACGAAGUAAGUAAGUUAGUUACGGUUACGUAGAGACGUCGACGACGGACGACGACGAGGGAGGAGG
rnacentral:rRNA from 1 species